rnacentral:rRNA from 1 species
GACGUAGGGGGCCAGCGUUGCUCGGAAUUACUGGGCGUAAAGGGUUCGUAGGCGGUGCGGCAAGUUGGGAGUGAAAUCUCUGGGCUUAACCCAGAGGCUGCUUCCAAAACUGCUGUGCUUGAGUGUGAGAGAGGCUCGUGGAAUUGCAGGUGUAGCGGUGAAAUGCGUAGAUAUCUGCAGGAACACCCGUGGCGAAAGCGGCGAGCUGGAUCACAACUGACGCUGAGGAACGAAAGCUAGGGGAGCAAACAGG